AGGCAUUUCCCUGGAAGUGGCAGCAGUGACAGGAAAGGAAGAACCAAGAUCCCGAUUAUGAUUUAUACCACAUUCAAGGUUUGGUUAUCCAAGGAGCAGUGCCCAGCUCCUUCCCAGCGGGAUAUGGAAUGCUGGUGAUUUCCAGGAAGUGACCUCACAGUGACUCAAGCUACCACGUGUUGAUUGUGAUGAAAUGCCAGCUGAGGCACAUUCCCUGGGAGCUAAAGGGUGCUACACUUGACCACUGCAGCAGUAAAGAUGACUCCGAAGAAUGGCAUGGGAUGGAUCCUUUCAAGUGAACUUGAGCAGGGGUCUCCAACCACAGGGCUACAGAGCUGGAGGUGAGCAGCAGCUGGAUCAACUACGAAAUACUUCAGAGCCCAGGAAGAGAGACUGACUGGACAGCAUGUUAUUCAGUACUGACGAUCCAUCGUCUGCGAAGACCACGUUUUGCUUAUCCAUUUGUCAAUGGACACUUGGAUUGCUUCCAUAUUUUGGAUAUUGGGAGUAAUACAGCUAUCAAUGCGGGUGUACAAAUAAUCUCUUGAAGACCCUGUUUUCAGUUCUUUUGAGUAUAUACUGAGAAGUGCAAUUGCUGGAUCACAUGUUUCCCUGGAUGCUGAACAUGGAGCCUUACAGUUUCUAGAAUGGUUUGGCAGAAUAUCUCUUUGGAAAUUGGUGAAGAUGGGUGAAGUAUAGAUCCAGGAAGGUGGAGGGUCCCCACAAAAAAAAAAAAAAAGUGCCUUCAUAGAAGACUGUGCACUUCAUGUCAUCAUAUACAAUGGGCAGCACACACAGGCCCCUGCUAUUCUUUUAUGAGGGACAGGUUGGGAGGGUCUCUGCAGGUGGUGCUUGCUCACUGGCCACCAGCCUCUCCCCUGCUCUCUCUGCCUCCCUUAUCAUCCACACUCACCUUCAUGGUACAGGACACGUUGACUUUGUUCUUUGACCUCAUUUCAUUCUGAAUUUUUAAAGCUUAAUGUAGCUGGCUUUAUCCCUUCAAUUUGAAAAGUUAUUUUAGAAAUUGAAAUAAUUAUUGCCACAUUUUUCUUAGAUGUUUAAGAUCAUGGUUACCUACUUUAUUUGUAGACAUUGCAUAGAGAUAAAUGCUGGGGACGAGGGUGUUUGUUUUUAACCUUAAUGUGUUUGUCUGAUCUCUGAGUUCUAGGGGUUGUGGAAAAGGAAAGUGGUAUAAAGUAAAUGACACAGUGACAGAAGAAUUCGACCUAAAUAAUGAGAUUCCGGAGUGCGAAUGCUUUGGUGAAGAAUAUAGACCAAAAUUUUAUGAUCAAGGGAGGUCUGAUGAGAACGCCGGGGGUCACCAAAGAAGACUCAAGUUAGCUGUGUAGAGCAGGAAGCCGAGGACUUCUCACUGAUAUCAGGUCUCCAAAUCAGAUGUGAGUGCUCAGAGCCAGGAGAGGAGAAGCGGAGGGGAGGAGGUUGCCCCAAAUCCUGAGUGCAGGUGAGCUCCAGGUCCUGUGAGCUGGUGUGAAGAGCCACCCAGGAGGGACAGGGCUGGGGCCAUGUCAACCUCAGAUGUCCUUGAGGGAGUGGCUUUUCCAACGUCGUAUUGAGGUCAGUGUAAAAAUGCCUGUCCAGUGGUGUCAUAAUUCUUCAGACAUUUCCCUCUGUCUUCAUCUAGCCUUCAGCACGUUCCUUGGCCUCAGAGGGAGGCAUCUUCCUUCCAUGCGUCUUUGACGGGAGUUAAACUUGAUACAGUACCCUUUGUUUUUGGCCCUCCCCUUGUUGAUUUCCCCUGUCUCAAUCUCCCAACAUCCAUCUUUUAAUUUUCCCUCUCAUUUUGGUCUUAACAAUAUUCUCUAAUUGUUGAUGUCCUAUAAUGUUCUUCUGAUCGCUGGUAUAUUCCUUUAUUUCGUGUCUUCACUCUUUGUUGCAGAUCAAUAUUUGAAACAUACUUGCUUGCUUUUGUAAAAUGUUCCUUCCCCUAAUGCCACUAUAGCUGUUUCUUUUCUCAAAGAAACAUCUUUUCACAUCUUCUCAGGUAUGGAAAGUGAACUUGAAAGGUAUGAAACGAUAGUCACACAGGAUAUCUUUAGGAAAUUCCCAUUCAUCCAUGCGUCAGUUUUAAGUCUCAGGGAAUGACCCUGCCUAUCCACAUAAGGGACCUGGGACUGGGAUGAGUUAGAAACUCGGCGCAACCACCUGCCUGAAAAUAGAGAUGAACGUAGGCGCUGCCCCAGCAGCAAAUGUUGCAUAAUUUGAAUUUUGGAAUGAAAUUGGCCUAAAGUCAAACUGUAAUCUGAGUUUCUAUGAAAUGGAGACUGCUUAAUCAUACCUCACAUAUCUAGCAUUUGGAACAUAAACAAGAUCUAAAACUUAACCGGAAAGCAAUGCAGGUGACGGGCUGAAGUUUAGAAACUGGAUGCGAAUGUAAGAAAGUAACACUCCAUUUGAAGAUAACUGACUCAGGGAGACUUAAGCUGGAGAGGAUCCCUGAAGGGCCAACUCAGAAGUAACAUGCAAAGGAAUGAAUGAAGGAAUGUAUGUGAGCAAGCCUCCCACAGCCUCUUCCUUCCAUGCCAAGAGCAGAGAUUUCUUACCAGAGUGGAGCUUUUUUAAUGUAAUGAGCCUGGGGAAGAUUUCACAUACAACCCAAACUUCUGUCCGCCUGGCCUGGCCUUCAUUUUUCUGCCUUCUCGCCUCACGUGCUGCCUUCUUGUCUUCUGACUCUGCCUUCCUCUUUUCUCGGCUUCCGGCCUUUUGCCUUCCAGCCUUUCUGGCCUUCUGACCUUCUACUUUGUUCCUUUCUGGCUGCUGC